rnacentral:rRNA from 1 species
GAUGAACGCUGGCGGCGUGCCUAAUACAUGCAAGUCGAGCGAACAGACGAGGAGCUUGCUCCUCUGACGUUAGCGGCGGACGGGUGAGUAACACGUGGAUAACCUACCUAUAAGACUGGGAUAACUUCGGGAAACCGGAGCUAAUACCGGAUAAUAUAUUGAACCGCAUGGUUCAAUAGUGAAAGACGGUUUUGCUGUCACUUAUAGAUGGAUCCGCGCCGCAUUAGCUAGUUGGUAAGGUAACGGCUUACCAAGGCAACGAUGAGUAGCCGACCUGAGAGGGUGAUCGGCCACACUGGAACUGAGACACGGUCCAGACUCCUACGGGAGGCAGCAGUAGGGAAUCUUCCGCAAUGGGCGAAAGCCUGACGGAGCAACGCCGCGUGAGUGAUGAAGGUCUUCGGAUCGUAAAACUCUGUUAUUAGGGAAGAACAAAUGUGUAAGUAACUAUGCACGUCUUGACGGUACCUAAUCAGAAAGCCACGGCUAACUACGUGC